AGUCUGGUGGCCUCUUCUCCCAUAUGCCGCUCCGGUUGGAAGAGCAGGGGAUUGGCAAAGAGUGCCUCAUCCCGGAGAAGCUGCCAGAGGAGUACGACUACGUCGGUUCCAGCUGGGACGUAUCCUCCUUCUGACAGAAUAGCGAGCCACUGCCGGAAUAGGGGGAUACAGUCGCAGUGACUCCUUGACCACGCAGUUCAGAUAGGGAAGCUCAGCGAAAUCCAAGUGAUUUACGCCCCUGUUCAAAUCCCGGCCGUAGUGCUCCUUCAGCUCCUCGAACAGCCGUUGCUGCACUACCUCAUGGCGGGAAAGCAGAUACAAACAAAAAGACACCGCCGAAGUCGUGGUAUCGUGACCCUCAAAGAUGAAGGUAUUCACCUCAUUGCGAAUUUGCUUGUCGGUCAGUGGUUGACCGUCCACAGUGGCCCGCAAGAGAGUGUCCAGCAGGGCAUGUCGCUUCUCUGGCUUAUCUUGGUGGGCCUCCCUGGCCAGCAAGUGGCGGCGCUGCUCUAUGAUUCUAUUCGUGAACUGAUGCAGGCAGUUGACCCCUGCUUGUUGCUUUCUGAAUCCACUGGGCCAGCACAGGCGGAAGAGCUGGGGAAAUAAAAGAUGCGGUCUCAUGAACUUGGUGGCCAACACGUUCGUCAGACUAAAAAAAGAUUUAAGCGUGCACCACCUCGGAAUCCUCAUCUUCUUGGGCGCGCACACUCACGCCCAUAGCCGUUUCGGUAAUGAUGUCCAGGGCAGCCAAACCCACAUAGGGAUAGAUGUUCACGGCCGAGUUGCCGUGAGAGAGGGGCUCCAAACGCUCCACCAACUUGGAGCUCUGCCUCUCAAAGACCUCGACAAACUGCUCCAAUAUGCUAAAGUAAAACGUGGGCGUAAUGAUCUUUCGCAUCGUGUGCCACUCCUCUCCGCUGCUCAGGAGAAGUCCAUUUCCAAGCCAACCGCGUAGGGCCAAAUACAUGGUGCCCUUUCUCAGCUGCUGCUGACUAUGCAACAGUGCAUCUACAUGUCGCGGCUUCGCUGUAACCACAAUUACGUGGCCCAAGACGGAACCCAUAAAGCUGUUGCCAAAUCGCUGGACAUAUUCGGCAAAUUUCUCGUGGAGAUCUGAAAUAUAUUUAGAGUUAUUAAGAAACUAAAAAUUGGAACCACAGCUUACUGUCUGGCUGGAAACUGCGCAUCUGCCAGGCGGAUCCCACAAGAGGAACUCUCGACACACUGGGCACCACUCCGCGCAAAGGAUGUCGCAGUUCUUUUAAGGCCAAACAGAACAGCCAGGCCACCAGGAGAGUCGCCAGCAGAGUCACCAGCAUGUUUUACCCCCUGCAGCGCGUCGUGUAGUGGUUCUAAGCUCUUGAGCAGCCGGAAAUCUUAUCUGAAGCAAUGUAAAAAAAAUUGCCUACUUAAACACUUGGCAUUUAUUGCUUUCCGCUAGUGUUUAUAUAAGCAACCCUAUUCGAAUAGUGCGCCUCUUGGUCAGAGUGAGAUAGGGAGGUAGAACACCAUGCCAAGCGAGACGGGAAGUCCGCGAGGAAACAACUAUACAGCUGUUUUCAACAGCUGGUGGAAUCAAUCGGACCACAACAUUUUUAUCAGUCAAAUGUAGAGUUGACACAUAUAGAUAAAGAGACGAUUAAGAACUGGUUUUAAUAUUGAGAUAAAACUAUCAGAGAUAAUUGUUUUCUAAUAUAUAUUAGAUUCCAAUUAAAGGAAAUAUAGGCCUGACCAUGGUACAUAAGUACGUUUCCAAACCGAGGAAGUGGCCGAACAUAUCGUUGCGCCUCUUUUGCCAAAAGUAGUCCACCAGGAGUAGCAGACCCAGAACUCCAAGCAUUCUGCCGCGGAUGACGAACGAUUCACCACUGAACAGUUCUAUAAAUAAUAUAAUUCGUUCUUUAUCUCCCGCGACGCUGUGUGGGCUCUAAAUCUGGAAUGCACCCCAGCUGACAUUUGUAAAGAGAAACAAAUGCCUAAGAGAACGUAACCGUAGUCUGGUAAUCUACUUUUUGAAUUCAACUACUGGGAGUGCAAAUAAACUCGACAAGCCUUUUACGGUUUGUACUAACCUGGAGUUUAUAGCCCAGUCACGAGAUGGAUAGUCUUUUUGUUGAGCGAUUAUGCUUAGUCGAGUAAUUAAACCUUAAACUAAGACCUCUGCAAAGGAUAGAAAUUUUAAAAGAAAAUUUAUUAAAUGUUCAACCAACUUA